GCUGGAGUACACAAAGGAAAAACAAAAUAAAUGAACAGACAUGGUGAUAGCAGGACUGGAAAAGAACACUUCUUUAUUGCCACCUUGCUAAGUGUGGGGCUACAUUGUUGAGGACAGAGCCUGAACCCUGCGAUUUGCUAGAAAAGCUACUG